GAUGAACGCUGGCGGCGUGCCUAAUACAUGCAAGUCGAGCGAACGGACGAGGAGCUUGCGUCUCUGAUGUUAGCGGCGGACGGGUGAGUAACACGUGGAUAACCUACCUAUAAGACUGGGAUAACUUCGGGAAACCGUAGCUAAUACCGGAUAAUAUCUUGAACCACAUGGUUCAAAAGUGAAAGACGGCCUUGCUGUCACUUAUAGAUGCAUCCGCGCUGCAUUGGCUAGUUGGUAAGGUAACGGCUUACCAAGGCAACGAUGCGUAGCCGACGUGAGGGGGUGAUAGGCCACACUGGAGCGGAGACGGGCUCCAGACUCCUACGGGAGGCAGCAGUAGGGAACCUUAGGCAGAGGGCGAAAGCCUGACGGAGCAAGGCGGAGUGAGAUAUGAAGGUCUUGGGUUCGUAAAACUCGGUUAUGAGGGAAAAACAUAUGUGGACGGAACUGUGCACAUAGUGACGGUACCUAGUCAGAAAGCAACGGCUAACUACGUG
rnacentral:rRNA from 1 species